UGCCCUAGUAAGGUGAAACCGCGAAUGGCUCAUUAAAUCAGUCAUGGUUCCUUAGAACAUACCAUCCUUCUUGGAUAACUGUGGUAAUUCUAGAGCUAAUACAUGCAACAGAGCUCCGACCCUUGUGGAACGAGCGCUUUUAUUAGACCAAAGACCAAUCGGAGCUUCGGCCCCGUCAGUCUGUGGUGACUCUGGAUAACUUUUAGCGGAUCGCACGGUCAUCGUGCCGGCGACUCCUCUUUCAAAUGUCUGCCUUAUCAACUUUCGAUGGUAGGUUAAUUGCCUACCAUGGUUGUAACGGGUGACGGGGAAUCAGGGUUCGAUUCCGGAGAGGGAGCCUGAGAAACGGCUACCACAUCCAAGGAAGGCAGCAGGCACGCAAAUUACCCACUCCCAGUACGGGGAGGUAGUGACGAAAAAUAACAAUGCGGGACUCUUACGAGGCCCCGUAAUUGGAAUGAGUCCACUUUAAAUCCUUUAACGAGGACCUAUUGGAGGGCAAGUCUGGUGCCAGCAGCCGCGGUAAUUCCAGCUCCAAUAGCGUAUACUAAAGUUGUUGCGGUUAAAAAGCUCGUAGUUGGAUGUCAGUCGCGGGCGGGCGGUCCACCGUUUUGGUGGUUUACUGCUCGUCCCGCGACCUACUGGCCGGCCUCCCCCGCUAUGCUCUUCACCGGGUGUGGCGGGUGGCCGGAAAGUUUACUUUGAAAAAAUUAGAGUGCUCUAAGCAGGUGCUUGCCGCCUGAAUAACACAGCAUGGAAUAAUGGAAUAGGACCUCGGUUCUAUUUUGUUGGUUUUCGGAAUUCCGAGGUAAUGAUUAAUAGGGACAGACGGGGGCA
rnacentral:rRNA from 1 species